UACGUAGGGGGGCUAGCGUUGUCCGGAAUCAUUGGGCGUAAAGCGCGUGUAGGCGGCCCGGUAAGUCCGCUGUGAAAGUCGGGGGCUCAACCUCGGAUGCCGGUGGAGUACUGUCGGGCUAGAGUACAGAAGGGGCAACUGGAAUUCUCGGUGUAGCGGUGAAAUGCGCAGAUAUCAGGAAGAACACCGGUGGCGAAGGCGGGUCUCUGGGCAGUGA
rnacentral:rRNA from 1 species